GGAUCAGUGCUGGGGUGGAGGGUGCUGCUGCAGGUGAUUGGUGCUGCCUGUAGCUACAGUAUAGUGCACCCAUUGAAUCUGGAGGCUCCGUCUGCCCCUGGGAGCUGUACCCUGAUCUAGCCAGGCUUGGCUGGAGGCAAAAUGGGGGAGGGGUAGACAUCCUCACUGCAGAGAUUGAAGCCGAUGUCGAUGUGGCUGAGGAGUCCUGAUCAGAUGGGGUGAUUGUCAGGCUCCAGGCUGUAUAUCUGCUCUAUCGUUGCACAUACAAGAUUGCAGUCGUGCCAGACGAAAUACGUUUCUCAGCUUGAAGGAUUGCUACCUGAAUAAUAGCUAGAAGCGAGAACAAGUGCGCACAUAUGAGGGGCAUGUUUGGACAUUAACUCUUCUAAUCCUGUGCUCUACUUGAGGUUGUGCUACAUGUUCUGAACAUGUAGUAGCCAUGAAGUGCUAUGUCCUUAGAUUUAUGUCUAUAUGCUGACAAACUGAAGGACCAGUGUUUAUUUCUGCUAUCAUCAAGGAUCACUGGAUGCAUGAAUAAUGCAUGACUGGAGCAACCAUCUUCUCUGGGGUGUCCGUGCAGUAAGCAGCAGAGAAGCACAUACCCUCCAGCCUUAUUCCUUUGAAUAAUUUUUGAUGAGUUAUGAUUAA